rnacentral:rRNA from 1 species
GACGAACGCUGGCGGCGUGCUUAACACAUGCAAGUCGAACGGAAAGGCCCUGCUUUUGUGGGGUGCUCGAGUGGCGAACGGGUGAGUAACACGUGAGUAACCUGCCCUUGACUUUGGGAUAACUUCAGGAAACUGGGGCUAAUACCGGAUAGGAGCCCCUGCUGCAUGGUGGGGGUUGGAAAGUUUCGGCGGUUGGGGAUGGACUCGCGGCUUAUCAGCUUGUUGGUGGGGUAGUGGCUUACCAAGGCUUUGGCGGGUAGCCGGCCUGAGAGGGUGACCGGCCACAUUGGGACUGAGAUACGGCCCAGACUCCUACGGGAGGAAGCAGUGGGGAAUAUUGCACAAUGGGCGGAAGCCUGAUGCAGCAACGCCGCGUGCGGGAUGACGGCCUUCGGGUUGUAAACCGCUUUCGCCUGUGACGAAGCGUGAGUGACGGUAAUGGGUAAAGAAGCACCGGCUAACUACGUG